rnacentral:tRNA from 1 species
GCCUGGGUGGCUCAGUCGGUUGAGCACCCGACUUCAACUCAGGUCAUGAUCUCGCAAGUUCGAGAGUUCGAGCCCUGCAUCGGGCU